rnacentral:rRNA from 1 species
CCUACGGGGGGCAGCAGUGGGGAAUAUUGGGCAAUGGGCGCAAGCCUGACCCAGCAACGCCGCGUGAAGGAAGAAGGCUUUCGGGGUGUAAAAUUCUUUUCUCAGGGACGAAAAAAGUGACGGUACCUGAGGAAUAAGCCACGGCUAACUACGUGCCAGCAGCCGCGGUAAUACGUAGGUGGCAAGCGUUAUCCGGAUUUAUUGGGGGUAAAGGGCGUGUAGGCGGGAGCGCAAGUCUGAUGUGAAAACUCAGGGCCCAACCCUGGGCUUGCAUUUGAAACUGUGUUUCUUGAGUGCUGGAGAGGCAAGCGGAAUUCGGUGAGUAGCGGUGAAAUGCGUAGAUAUAAGGAGGAACACCAGUGGCGAAGGCGGAUUGCUGGACUGUAACUGACGCUGAGGCGCGAAAGCGUGGGGAGCAAACAGGAUUAGAUACCCGGGUAGUC